rnacentral:snRNA from 1 species
AGAGCUUCUCGGUCUUUUGGCUGAGAUCAAGUGUCGUAUCUGUUCUUAUCAGUUUAAUCAGAGUUUAUAAAACAGUAAACGGAAAAGCCUGGCUCUAUUCAGAGUCAGUCAGCUCUU